rnacentral:rRNA from 1 species
UACGUAGGGUGCGAGCGUUAAUCGGAAUUACUGGGCGUAAAGCGUGCGCAGGCGGCGCCGCAAGUCGAGUGUGAAAUCCCCGAGCUUAACUCGGAAACUGCCAUUGAUACUAUAGGUCUUGAAUUAUCUGGAGGUAAGCGGAAUAUGUCAUGUAGCGGUGAAAUGCUUAGAUAUGACAUAGAACACCAAUUGCGAAGGCAGCUUACUACGGAUUGAUUGACACUGAGGCACGAAAGCGUGGGGAUCAAACAGG